AUUGAACGCUGGCGGCAUGCUUUACACAUGCAAGUCGAACGGUAACAGGCCUUCGGGUGCUGACGAGUGGCGAACGGGUGAGUAAUGCAUCGGAACGUGCCCAGAGGUGGGGGAUAACGCAGCGAAAGCUGUGCUAAUACCGCAUGUGAUCUGAGGAUGAAAGCGGGGGACCAGGCAGCAAUGUUUGGCCUCGCGCCUUUGGAGCGGCCGAUGUCAGAUUAGGUAGUUGGUGGGGUAAAGGCCGACCAAGCCGACGAUCUGUAGCUGGUCUGAGAGGACGACCAGCCACACUGGGACUGGGACACGGCCCAGACUCCUACGGGAGGCAGCAGUGGGGAAUUUUGGACAAUGGGCGCAAGCCUGAUCCAGCAAUGCCGCGUGCGGGAAGAAGGCCUUCGGGUUGUAAACCGCUUUUGUACGGAACGAAAAGGCUCUGGCUAAUACCUGGGGCUGAUGACGGUACCGUAAGAAUAAGCACCGGCUAACUACGUG
rnacentral:rRNA from 1 species